GAGAAAGGAUGGAGCUGAAGUCCAAAGUGAAACAGAUCAAAGAACUUUUGUUAAAGCCUGAGACCCAGGCCAAGAUUAGAAAGGAGCUUUUUGAAGGAAGAGUUUUUAAUAAUGGUGACCCAACUGAUUUCAACAUGACUUUGCCAUAGCUCUCCGCUGCUGUUACGCUUGCUCACAUGUUUAUGAACUCUCAGCCCGUUAAAUAGCUCUUUGGUGAGUAACCAAAGUGUUCUUACGGUCUCUACAAAGCCCACAAACCAACAUUUGGUAAGGAACUAACAACUUCUUGCCAAAGAAAACGUAUUUUUGCCUUAUCGUGGUCACCAUCAUCACCGUCAUCAUCGUCAUCACCACCAUAAAAUUGAGUUUUAGAAUGUUCCUUUUGGUAUCUUACUCAUUUUAUAUAAAAACUUCUUAAUUAGCUGUUGUAAGAUGUUCCAUGGGUCCUUGCAGAUAAUAUUAUAUAUAUAUAUAUAUAUAUACACACAUAUAUGUACAUAUAUAUACAUAUAUAUACACAUAUACUCACACACUUUUAAAAAUCCUUUAUAGACAAAAACAGCAAAACAAAAUAAAACCAACAACAGUAUUCUAAGGGUCACCUGCCUCCUGUUGAUGUGGUCCUGUUACUUCAAAGGAAGCAUUGUCCGGGCCAGUCCAGUCUCAAGGUCCUUUUGCUGAGCGUUUGAGUGCUUAUUGAGGAUCAGCACUUGAACAGACAUUAGUAAGCGUAAUCGUUGUAGUCACGGGUUCAGAAUGUUUUAUACUAUCUAUAUUCUCUCUUUCAUUGAUGAAGUACAGUUUGCUUUUUUUUUUAAUUUUUUAUUUCUUCGUGAACAGUGUUCAGGGUUCCUAUUUCCUACUCUCUGAAGAUGAGCCCAAGCCUGCGUUCUUCACGGUUUGAGUAGCUUGCACUGGUUCCUUUGUAAACGAGCAUUCUUGAGUGUUAUUUGGGUAGUCACUUUAAAAUUGCUGCUACUAAUAGAUGAUGGGGAAAGAAAGUGAUUAGAGAUUAAAUAUAUAAUCAUCUCACAGUCCAGUUUGCUCGUGGAUUUUUGGCUAUUUCUUUCCACUGGGUAAAUGAUGCAUUAAUUCAUGAUGUAUUCCUUUAUACGUACCUACGUUUUCAUGCGUCAUAAUAAAAGUACUCUUUCCUCUAUUGC
rnacentral:lncRNA from 1 species